rnacentral:tRNA from 2 species
UAACUUCGUGAAUGGAGGUAGAGCCCCUCUCUACGCCCUUGAUAAGGGUAA